GGGUCAUUAGGUUGGUCGUGCCACCGGUACGUACUGGUCUCACUGAUUCCUCCUUCCUGAAGAACCGUAAUGCCAUUAAUUUGGUGUUGCGGGGAAACAGGACUGUUACUUUGAAAAAAUUAGAGUGUUUAAAGCAAGCUAAAGCUUGGAUACAUUAGCAUGGAAUAAUGAAAUAGGACGAUCGAUCCUAUUUUGUUGGUUUCUAGGAUUGACGUA
rnacentral:rRNA from 1 species